GAUGAACGCUGGCGGCGUGCCUAAUACAUGCAAGUCGAGCGAACAGACGAGGAGCUUGCUCCUCUGACGUUAGCGGCGGACGGGUGAGUAACACGUGGAUAACCUACCUAUAAGACUGGGAUAACUUCGGGAAACCGGAGCUAAUACCGGAUAACAUGUUGAACCGCAUGGUUUAACAGUGAAAGACGGUCUUGCUGUCACUUAUAGAUGGAUCCGCGCCGCAUUAGCUAGUUGGUAAGGUAACGGCUUACCAAGGCAACGAUGCGUAGCCGACCUGAGAGGGUGAUCGGCCACACUGGAACUGAGACACGGUCCAGACUCCUACGGGAGGCAGCAGUAGGGAAUCUUUCGCAAUGGGCGAAAGCCUGACGGAGCAACGCCGCGUGAGUGAAGAAGGUCUUCGGAUCGUAAAACUCUGUUAUUAGGGAAGAACAAAUGUGUAAGUAACUAUGCACGUCUUGACGGUACCUAAUCAGAAAGCCACGGCUACCUACGUG
rnacentral:rRNA from 1 species